UACGGGGGGAGCAAGCGUUGUUCGGAUUUACUGGGCGUAAAGGGCUCGUAGGCGGCCAACUAAGUCAGACGUGAAAUCCCUCGGCUUAACCGGGGAACUGCGUCCGAUACUGGAUGGCUCGAGUGUGGGAGAGGGAUGCGGAAUUCCAGGUGUAGCGGUGAAAUGCGUAGAUAUCUGGAGGAACACCGGUGGCGAAGGCGGCAUCCUGGACCACGACUGACGCUGAAUAGCGAAAGCCAGGGGAGCAAACGGG
rnacentral:rRNA from 1 species